AACGAACGCUGGCGGCAGGCCUAACACAUGCAAGUCGAGCGCGCCCUUCGGGGUGAGCGGCGGACGGGUGAGUAACGCGUGGGAACGUGCCCUUUUCUACGGAAUAGCCUCGGGAAACUGAGAGUAAUACCGUAUACGCCCUUUGGGGGAAAGAUUUAUCGGAAAAGGAUCGGCCCGCGUUGGAUUAGGUAGUUGGUGGGGUAAUGGCCUACCAAGCCGACGAUCCAUAGCUGGUUUGAGAGGAUGAUCAGCCACACUGGGACUGAGACACGGCCCAGACUCCUACGGGAGGCAGCAGUGGGGAAUCUUAGGCAAUGGGGGCAACCCUGAUCUAGCCAUGCCGCGUGAGUGAUGAAGGCCUUAGGGUUGUAAAGCUCUUUCAGCUGGGAAGAUAAUGACGGUACCAGCAGAAGAAGCCCCGACUAACUCCGUG
rnacentral:rRNA from 1 species